CCUACGGGUGGCAGCAGUGAGGAAUAUUGGUCAAUGGACGAGAGUCUGAACCAGCCAAGUAGCGUGAAGGAUGACUGCCCUAUGGGUUGUAAACUUCUUUUAUAUGGGAAUAAAAUGUUCCACGUGUGGGAUUUUGUAUGUACCAUAUGAAUAAGGAUCGGCUAACUCCGUGCCAGCAGCCGAGGUAAUACGGAGGAUCCGAGCGUUCUCCGGAUUUAUUGGGUUUAAAGGGAGCGUAGGUGGAUUGUUAAGUCAGUUGUGAAAGUUUGCGGCUCAACCGUAAAAUUGCAGUUGAAUCUGGCAGUCUUGAGUACAGUAGAGGUGGGCGGAAUUCGUGGUGUAGCGGUGAAAUGCUUAGAUAUCACGAAGAACUCCGAUUGCGAAGGCAGUUCACUGGACUGCAACUGACACUGAGGCUCGAAAGUGUGGGUAUCAAACAGGAUUAGAUACCCGUGUAGUC
rnacentral:rRNA from 1 species